rnacentral:lncRNA from 1 species
GGGGAAGGGGCUCAUGUUCAGACAUUGGGUGGGCGAGGGAGAAUUAGGAUAUUUGGGGAAAUUUUUAAAUAAUUUUAUUGUUAAAGACAUCAACAGAUAAAUAAUAUUAUUGGUAAAGACUUUCAACAGCCCAUAAAUUAGACUAUAAACUUUGUUACACUUUAAACAACACUGACCCUAUCCAAUUUUGACCAAUCUUAACACAC